GCUCAGCCCUAAACUUUGAUAAUCUGACUACACUCAUUAUCCGCCCGGGUACUACAAGCUCUGGCUCAAAACCCAAAGGACUUGGCGGUGCUUAAGAUCCACCUAGAGGAGCCUGUUCUAGAACCGAUAACCCCCGUUCAACCUCACCCUUUCUUGUUCAUACCGCCUAUAUACCGCCGUCGUCAGCUUACCCUGUGAAGGUCUAGCAGUAAGCAAAAUUGGUAUGGCCCAAAACGCCAGGUCGAGGUGUAGCGUAUGAAAGGGAAAGAAAUGGGCUACAUUUCCUAAACAGGAAAAACGAACAAUAACUUGAAACAUAUAUUAGAAGGAGGAUUUAGCAGUAAAUGAAAAACAGAGUGUCUCAUUGAAACUGGCCCUAAAGCGCGC
rnacentral:rRNA from 1 species